UGUGCAAAAUCUGGUUUAAACCGGUUUCUAUCUUAAAUUUCAAUAUAAAAACUUAAUAAAACAUAUACAGCCGUUAUUGUAUUUUACGCGAGACGCUGUGAGGCGUGCAGGGUGUCGUUACUCAGGAGCACAAUAUUUACACAAGUAUUCCGAAUUUUUGACAUUUUUUCGGGGUUUUUCUGCAGUCAAGAUGCCCAAAAGAAAGAUUGAUGGUGAGAAGGCCGCCAAAGGCAAGGAGGAGCCAACGAGACGCUCCGCAAGGUUGUCUGCUAAACCAGCUCCUCCUAAACCAGAACCAAAGCCCAAAAAAGCCGCCCCCAAGAAGGCAGCCAAAGGGAAGAAAGGCAGCAACCCUGCUGAAAAUGGAGACGCCAAGGCAGACCAGGUCGGUCUGAAAAGCGCUUAAAAGAGUUCUAAGCACAGAAGGUUGACGCUGCUGGCGAUGCCAAAUGAGAAGCUAACGAGUGUCUGAUCCUUCUAUGUACUUGGUGACUGUACAGUUUGAAAUGACUAUUUUUUACCAAGUUUUAUAUUAAGAAUAACAUUUAUAGUUGACUUGCUUUUUAUGUAAUGAUUGAUUUGACAGGAGUUACUAUAUUUCAUUCAUAUCCAUUUGUAUCCCAUUUUUUUAAUCAAGCCAUCUAUGUCUUGGCGAAACAGUUUGUCCUUGCUAAAUCUGUCGGCAAAAAAAGCAAGAAUAUUGUCCUAAACUUUGUUUUUUUUGCUCUAUCUUUCUUGGUCUAUCUUUGGAUGUUAAACACCAAACAUUCUCAAAAGGCAGCUUAAGAGUGGUUGUAAAUUGUUUUCGGAAGGGUUUUCACCAUGUUGUUAGCAUUUAAACGUACAAAUACUGUGUUUUUUUUUUUUUUUUUUUUUUAAGUAAGUUACAAUGAAAUUGUCACUAGGAAAAAAAAAAGUAAAUAAGGCAACAUUGUCGAAUAAAUUUACAAUGUGAACCUUCAAUUUCUUUAGAGAUGUGUGUUCUGAGCUUGUCUUGUUUAUUAAGUUAUGUUCUGCAGCCGUAGAAGGAUUUUCAGUGA